UGCUAUUGAUUAUUCAAAAGGAUGUAAUAUUUGAUAGAAUGUCAUCAAUGGGGAAAAAGUUUAAUGUAUUAUUCAUGUACUGUUUCUGUGUUCAGAAGGUGCUAAAUAUUAGAAUAUUAAUAAUCUACAGUUGUUCAUAUUUUGGUGCUGUCUCAAAAGUCCGAAUACAAUAGUAUGCUUUGUGUACUUUUUUACUGUCAUGCUAAGAUAGCUUGGAAGUAGAAGGUUGUCAAUGAACAAACAGAGUGAGUGAAUGACAGGAGGAAAAAAAUGAAUUUGAGUUAAAAGAUUAACUGUUUCUUUGUCACACUUUACCAGAGAUACAAACAUAAAACUGAAUAAGUGAACUGAAAUGAAAGUAAGAUUUGUAAAAAAAAAAAGAGUGCUUGGUAUUUUCAAUGACAGAAAAUACAUCUGUAGAGUAAUUCAUAUAUAGUGACAAACAUGACCACACAUGCGCAUGCGCACACACACACACACACACACACACACUUCCUUCUGAAAAACAUUCCUUUACAAAACUAUUGUCAUUUUGAAUAACAUGGAUAAACUAAUAUAUGAUACUUGGGCAUGGACUGUGAGGUGUGACCUGCAAGAGGUUUGGCUGCCAUUUCUAGCAAGUCAAACAACCAAGUAGAUAAAUAUUCUUUCAUUGAAAAAAUCCUCAGCCUCAAAGAAUGGUCAAGAGUUGAAAGAGGCGGAAGGAAUUCAGAGUAGUGUUAAUUCUGUAGACAGCAAAAAGGCUUCUCUCUCCAGGCAAAAAAACAAACUGUGUGAAGGAUGAAGUAAGAUGCAGCAGGGUGUUGAAAAUUAUAUACUUAAUGUAGAUCUGAAGAGGUAAGAUAAAAAUGAGGUGCAUAUCAUUUGAUGACAGGAAUAGCAAGGUACAACAAGUAAGCUGAGAAAGUGAUUUGGCAUGAACAGAAUCAGCUUAUGUGUGAAGAAAAGACAGAUCUAUUAGUAUUGACAUAUAAUGCAACUGGUCAACACCUACUGGGUGAAAAGGUGAUGGAUGCUAAUAAUGGCAUCAAGAGCAGAGCCAGGCAGGUGAAAUGGUGUAAUUAUAGCUGAGUCUCACAAUUACAUGACAAAUAAUCAAGAGGUGUGAUAUGCCAUAGUCUAUGCCACCAUGGGAAAAACAAUCAGCAAAAUAAA